AACCGUGCUGUACCAGUUGCCACUGCCCAAGCUCUCUCUCUGUGUUCGAAAAGCCACUGUGUGGGAAAGUUCAAACCAGUAGGCUAUUGAUUCUUCUGCUUCAUUUUUUGGAUAGUCUGACAUAAUAAAAGACAAGUGUCACUGUAGUAACCUGUUGCAGCUUCUGGUUCUCAUCAGCCACCUUGAGGCUAUAGUGUUGCUGUUUCACCCUCCCUGGAAAAGGAUGUUCUGACAUACCUGCCGCUGACCUGUAGCUAUGGUAGCCACGCUCUUGUUCCCCUCGACCACCUUGAGGCUGUAGUGUUGCUACUUCACCCUCACUGACUAAGGAGAAACACCCAACUCGUCUAGAGAGGUACACACAACUUACUUCAGCAGCCCUCAAAAAGAAGUCAUCCAAUG